UACUGCUAUCAGUGUUCGAUUAAGCCAUGCGAGUUAAAUGUUCUUCGUGAACAUGGCGUACUGCUCAGUAACACGUGGAUAACCUGCCCUAAGGUCCGGCAUAACCCCGGGAAACUGGGGAUAAUACCGGAUAAACCAUAGAUACUGGAAUGUUCUGUGGUUCAAAGUUCCGGCGCCUUAGGAUGGAUCUGCGGCCUAUCAGGUAGUAGUGGGUGUAAAGUACCUACUAGCCGACGACGGGUACGGGUUGUGAGAGCAAGAGCCCGGAGAUGGAUUCUGAGACAUGAAUCCAGGCCCUACGGGGCGCAGCAGGCGCGAAAUCUUUACAAUGCGGGAAACCGCGAUAAGGGGACACUGAGUGCCAGCAUAUUAUGUUGGCUGUCCACCUGUAUAAAUCACAGGUGUUAGCAAGGGCCGGGCAAGACCGGUGCCAGCCGCCGCGGUAACACCGGCGGCCCGAGUGGUAGCCACUAUUAUUGGGUCUAAAGGGUCCGUAGCCGGUUUGAUCAGUCUUCCGGGAAAUCUGACAGCUCAACUGUUAGGCUUCCGGGAGAUACUGUCAGGCUUGGGACCGGGAGAGGUAAGAGGUACUACAGGGGUAGGAGUGAAAUCUUG
rnacentral:rRNA from 1 species